rnacentral:rRNA from 1 species
ACGGAAGGCAGCAGUAGGGAAUAUUGGUCAAUGGGGGAAACCCUGAACCAGCGACGCCGCGUGAGUGAAGAAGUAUUUCGGUAUGUAAAGCUCUAUCAGCAGGGACGAUAAUGACGGUACCUGACUAAGAAGCCCCGGCUAACUACGUGCCAGCAGCCGCGGUACUACGUAGGGGGCAAGCGUUAUCCGGAUUUACUGGGUGUAAAGGGAGCGUAGGUGGCCAUGCAAGUCAGAUGUGAAAUCCCGGGGCGCAACCCCGGAGCUGCAUUUGAAACUGCGUAGCUAGAGUGCAGGAGAGGUAAGCGGAAUUCCUAGUGUAGCGGUGAAAUGCGUAGAUAUUAGGAGGAACACCAGUGGCGAAAGCGGCUUGCUGGACUGCAACUGACACUGAGGCUCGAAAGCGUGGGGAGCAAACAGGAUUAGAUACCCUGGUA